GCUGGAUCCCCUUUUACAAGCGACGGGUGGAAAACUCACCCGGGAGAGAAGCAACGUGGAACUCAGGAGGAAUUUCCUAACAGGGAGGACAAUGACCCGGUGGGACUCCUU